UGCCAGCCUCCGCUGUACUCCUGAUUGUGCAAUCGUUGUUCGGAAUCAUUGGGCGUAAAGCGAGUGUAGGCGGUUUGAUAAGUCGGAUGUGAAAGCCCAGGGCCCAACCCUGGAACUGCACUCGAUACUGGCAUUCUAGAAUACAGUAGAGGGAGGUGGAAUUUCAGGUGUAGCGGUGAAAUGCGUAGAGAUCUGAAGGAACAUCAGUGGCGAAGGCGACCUCCUGGACUGAUAUUGACGCUGAGGUGCGAAAGCGUGGGGAGCAAACAGGAUUAGAUA
rnacentral:rRNA from 1 species